rnacentral:rRNA from 1 species
AGGGUUUGAUUAUGGCUCAGAUUGAACGCUGGCGGCAUGCCUUACACAUGCAAGUCGAACGGCAGCACGGGGGCAACCCUGGUGGCGAGUGGCGAACGGGUGAGUAAUACAUCGGAACGUGUCCUGUAGUGGGGGAUAGCCCGGCGAAAGCCGGAUUAAUACCGCAUACGCUCUGCGGAGGAAAGCGGGGGCUCCUUCGGGACCUCGCGCUACAGGGGCGGCCGAUGGCAGAUUAGCUAGUUGGUGGGGUAAAGGCCUACCAAGGCGACGAUCUGUAGCUGGUCUGAGAGGACGACCAGCCACACUGGGACUGAGACACGGCCCAGACUCCUACGGGAGGCAGCAGUGGGGAAUUUUGGACAAUGGGCGCAAGCCUGAUCCAGCAAUGCCGCGUGUGUGAAGAAGGCCUUCGGGUUGUAAAGCACUUUUGUCCGGAAAGAAAACCUCAGCCCUAAUACGGCGGGGGGAUGACGGUACCGGAAGAAUAAGCACCGGCUAACUACGUGCCAGCAGCCGCGGUAAUACGUAGGGUGCAAGCGUUAAUCGGAAUUACUGGGCGUAAAGCGUGCGCAGGCGGUCCGCUAAGACAGAUGUGAAAUCCCCGGGCUUAACCUGGGAACUGCAUUUGUGACUGGCGGGCUAGAGUAUGGCAGAGGGGGGUAGAAUUCCGCGUGUAGCAGUGAAAUGCGUAGAGAUGUGGAGGAAUACCGAUGGCGAAGGCAGCCCCCUGGGCCAAUACUGACGCUCAUGCACGAAAGCGUGGGGAGCAAACAGGAUUAGAUACCCUGGUAGUCCACGCCCUAAACGAUGUCAACUAGUUGUCGGGCCUUCAUUGGCUUGGUAACGUAGCUAACGCGUGAAGUUGACCGCCUGGGGAGUACGGUCGCAAGAUUAAAACUCAAAGGAAUUGACGGGGACCCGCACAAGCGGUGGAUGAUGUGGAUUAAU